CACGUAGGAGGCGAGCGUUGUCCGGAAUCAUUGGGCGUAAAGAGCGCGCAGGCGGCUUGGCAAGUCGGGUGUGAAAUCCCGGGGCUCAACCCCGUGACUGCAUCCGAUACUGUCAGGCUAGAGGUAGGUAGGGGAGAUCGAAUUCCUGGUGUAGCGGUGAAAUGCGCAGAUAUCAGGAGGAACACCGGUGGCGAAGGCGGAUCUCUGGGCCUUACCUGACGCUCAGGCGCGAAAGCUAGGGGAGCGAACAGG
rnacentral:rRNA from 1 species